GUGUGUGGUAAAGGAUUAUCAGAGAUAACUGUAGUGACUUAAGGGAAUGUGUUUGAUAAGUACUGUAUGUGUGUGUGUCCUUCCCUCCAGAGCUCCUCACACAGUGCGUCCCACCUCAAACCUCCCAGUUCAAACUGAGGACCAGUUUUCUCCAGAAGAGAAGGAGAAACGUUGUACUGACAAACCACCAGAAACCUCCUUGACCACAGAUGUUACAUCUUUUGUGGCUAAAAGGGUGGUGAUCACAGACAAUGACGACUCUGUCUUCACUGAGACUCCCUCUGUCCCCAAAGAACCAGCUGCACUAUCUGUGAAAGGCGUCCCUCCUGUAUCUGUGAAAGAUGUCUCUCCUGUAUCUGUGAAAGACGUCCCUCCUGUGUCUGUGAAAGAUGUCUCUCCUGUAUCUGUGAAAGACAUCUCUGCUGUUUCUGUGAAAGACGUCUCUCCUGUAUCUGUGAAAGACGUCUCUCCUGUAUGUGUGAAAGAUGUCUCUCCUGUAUGUGUGAAAGAUGUCUCUCCUGUAUGUGUGAAAGACGUCUCUCCUGUAUGUGUGAAAGACGUCUCUCCUGUAUCUGUGAAAGGUGUCCCUCCUGUAUGUGUGAAAGGUGUCUCUCCUGUAUCUGUGAAAGACAUCCUCCUUUCAACCCCUGUCAUAGUUGACACCCCAGCAGUGAUUGACCUUUAUGAGGGCAUGAAGCCAGGGCGUACCAAAGUGGCCACUGAGCUGUCCCCAGAGAGUAGUGUCCUGUUGAAAGUGGUCUCCCCAGUGUCCCCUGUCCCAUACAAACCAGUGAAGACAGAUCCUGCCCCAGUGGACACUCUGACAGCCCUGUCUGACACACUCAUCUCCUUCGACACAGGUUCACCCAGCUCCAGAGUCCCUGACCCAGUAUGGACAGAGACAGCAGAGCCAGAGGACAGGUAGGAAACCACAGAGACACACUUCCUCAUUCACGUCAUAGUGGGUGAUAUGAAACCGGUUACAGUAGGUUACUAAUGACGUGUAUUCAUUAGGGCACACCGUACCAAACCGUAACAAAAUGCUUUGCAAUGAAAACUAGUGUUUAUUGGACACCUUCAGGUUAGUCCUUCCCUGUUUCAGUCGCUUCCGUUUGGUGUCUAGUGAAUACACCCCUGGUGUCAACGGUCAUUCUGUACUUCUACACUGAGUGAACAAAACAUUAGGAACACUUUCCUAAUAACGAGUUGCACCCCCCUCAGAACAGCCUCAAUUCAUUGGGGCUAUGGACUCUACAAGGUGUUGAAAGUGUUCCACAAGGAUGCUGCCCCAUGUUGACUCCAAUGCUUCCCACAGUUGUGUCAAGUUGGCUGGAUGUCUUUUGGGUGGUGAACCAUUCUUGAAUCACGUGUGAAACUGUUAAGUGUGAAAAACCCAGCAGUGUUGCAGUACUCGACACAAACUGGUGGAACCUGGCACUUACUACCAUACUCCGUUCAAAGGCAUUUAAAUAUUGUGUCUUGCCCAUUCGCCCUCUGAAUGGCACAUACAC
rnacentral:lncRNA from 13 species